rnacentral:tRNA from 1 species
GAGGGUAUAGCUCAAGUGGUAGAGCACAUGCUUAGCAUGCAUGAGGUUCUGGGUUCAAUCCCCAAUAACUCCU